UGAAAAUAGUUAAACUACCAUUCUCAAUUAUGAGCAACAAAAAUGCAAGUAUAGUUACAAUGAAAUGAUCACAACCUAACACGAAAACAAUAAGUGAAACAUCACAAUUGUUUGCACAUUAGAAAAGCAAGUCCUGAUAUUAAUGUGCAAAAAUUUGCCAAAUGUUUUCAAUCUCCAAUAUAUAUGGAACUACGAUACCUAAAGUCUUAAAAAGUCUUUAUUUGCAUUGGAUAUCUUGGUGGAAAAGACUGAGUUUGAAGAUUCAUAAUUUUAUUAUGAUGAAAUAAAUGAUAUAACAAGGUCUUUUUCAGCUCUGCUAAUAAUAUUUUGGAUGAAAUAAUGUCAAAAUGUGUUCCAUUGUUUAAGGAAGCUGAAACUUAUCGAAAUAAAUUAUUUCAAAAAAACUUAUUUAGUAGAAUAAUUAUAGGAACAUUAGUGUCACAUACAGCAAAUUUCGAUUUGGUCGAUAAGUUGAAAGGCGAUUGUUUGAAGAGAAUAAUAAAAUAAAUAGCUUAAUAAAACAGCAAAAAAAAACUAUUAUGUUGUGUAUGCUUAAAUUGUAAAUAAACACAAAAUGUUAAAA